GUAGGUGGCAAGCGUUGUCCGGAAUUACUGGGUGUAAAGGGUGCGCAGGCGGGAUUGCAAGUUGGAUGUGAAAUACCGGGGCUUAACCCCGGAGCUGCAUCCAAAACUGUAGUUCUUGAGUGGAGUAGAGGUAAGCGGAAUUCCGAGUGUAGCGGUGAAAUGCGUAGAUAUUCGGAGGAACACCAGUGGCGAAGGCGGCUUACUGGGCUCUAACUGACGCUGAGGCACGAAAGCAUGGGUAGCAAACAGGAUUAGAUACCCUGGUAGUCCAUGCUGUAAACGAUGAAUGCUAGGUGUGGGGGGACUGACCCCUUCCGUGCCGGAGUAAACACAAUAAGCAUUCCACCUGGGGAGU
rnacentral:rRNA from 1 species